rnacentral:pre_miRNA from 1 species
AAUAAGUGCAGCCAUGAGUUUCCGUGUCCAACUUUAAUCGUUCGUUUUAUUUUAAAAAAUUUUGAAAAAACUUUAAAAAAUAAGCCACGAGUAAAGUACUAUUCAUGUUUUAUCAUAUCAUAACAACAAAAAUACUAAUCAUAAAAAAAUUUCAAAUAAGACGGACGAUUAAAGUUGGGAGCGGAAACUCAUGACUGCACUUAUU